UACGAAGGGGGCUAGCGUUGCUCGGAAUGACUGGGCGUAAAGGGCGCGUAGGCGGUUUGUACAGUCAGAUGUGAAAUUCCUGGGCUUAACCUGGGGGCUGCAUUUGAUACGUGCAGACUUGAGUGAGGAAGAGGGUUGUGGAAUUCCCAGUGUAGAGGUGAAAUUCGUAGAUAUUGGGAGGAACACCUGUGGCGAAAGCGGCUCACUGGACCAUAACUGACGCUGAUGCACGAAAGCUAGGGGAGCAAACAGG
rnacentral:rRNA from 1 species